rnacentral:rRNA from 1 species
UACGAAGGGGGCUAGCGUUGCUCGGAAUGACUGGGCGUAAAGGGCGCGUAGGCGGUUCGUACAGUCAGACGUGAAAUUCCUGGGCUUAACCUGGGGGCUGCGUUUGAUACGUACGGGCUUGAGUGUGGAAGAGGGUCGUGGAAUUCCCAGUGUAGAGGUGAAAUUCGUAGAUAUUGGGAAGAACACCGGUGGCGAAGGCGGCGACCUGGUCCAUUACUGACGCUGAGGCGCGAAAGCGUGGGGAGCAAAC